UACGGAGGGGGCUAGCGUUGUUCGGAAUUACUGGGCGUAAAGCGCACGUAGGCGGCUUCGUAAGUUAGAGGUGAAAGCCCGGAGCUCAACUCCGGAACUGCCAUUGAAACUGUUUAGCUUGAGUAUGAGAGAGGUGAGUGGAAUUCCCAGUGUAGAGGUGAAAUUCGUAGAUAUUGGGAAGAACACCGGUGGCGAAGGCGGCUCACUGGCUCAUUACUGACGCUCAGGCGCGACAGCGUGGGGAUCAAACAGG
rnacentral:rRNA from 1 species